UACCUGCAGCUCGAGUGGUAACCGCUAUUAUUGGGCCUAAAACGUCCGUAGCCGGUUUGGUAAAUAUCUGGGUAAAUCGUGAGGCUUAACUUCACGAAUUUCGGAUAGACUGCCAGACUUGGGAUCGGGGGAGGUCAGAGGUACUCCAGGGGUAGCGGUGAAAUGUUGUAAUCCUUGGAGGACCACCGGUAGCGAAGGCGUCUGACUAGAACGAGUCCGACGGUGAGGGACGAAGCCCUGGGGCGCAAACCGGAUUAGAUACCCGGGUAGUCCAGGGUGUAAACGAUGUGGGCUUUGUAUUGGAGGUCCCACGUGGGCGUCCAGUGCAGAAGAGAAGUUGUUAAGCCCACCGCCUGGGAAGUACGGUCGCAAGGCUGAAACUUAAAGGAAUCGGCGGGGGAGCACAGCAACGGGAGGAGCGUGCGGUUU
rnacentral:rRNA from 1 species